rnacentral:lncRNA from 1 species
GGGAGAGAGUAUAUUUGGUUGGACAGCUGCUCAAAUUGAGCCUUUUGUUUACAGGUGGAAAUGAAGCUCCUGUGUUGCCAGAUUUCAAUUUUCAAGAAAAACUUAACAAUUUAUAUUUUUUAUUUGAAGUCUGUCAAUUGUUAAAUGUUGGCCAUGCAUUCAAAUAUCAGGCCAUUUCCUACAGAUGCAUCAUAAAACAAAGAAGAACAGAAAGGCAUGUUCCAGUCUUCCUUGGUCAUUACUGUUUUUCAGGAAUUAAUUGAUAGGGAUUACCUGAAGAAUCCAGAGAAAGAGCAGGUGCUUCGACCUGGCUAUCACGGAGGUGGUAAUAAACGUAAUGAUGGCUUGCUGCCUGAGGAUUCGUGGCACCAGUGUUUUGUGCACAGAAAGACACAGACCAACAAAACCUGUUGCAUUAUAGACCAUCUCAUGACCCAAAGACAAGGAAUGUCUACGUUCUCAUUAAAAUGGCAAAGCACAUGACCACGCUGCACCCAAUAACAUGUUUCAGAGAGUGGCCGUGUGCUUCCCACGUGGCUCAGUGGUAAAGAGCUCAUCUGCCAAUGCAGGAGCUGCAG